rnacentral:rRNA from 1 species
GGACCCGCACAAGCAGCGGAGCAUGUGGUUUAAUUCGAAGCAACGCGAAGAACCUUACCAGGACUUGACAUCCCUCUGACCGGGCCGUAACGGGUCCUUCCCUUCGGGGCAGAGGAGACAGGUGGUGCAUGGUUGUCGUCAGCUCGUGUCGUGAGAUGUUGGGUUAAGUCCCGCAACGAGCGCAACCCUUGUCAUUAGUUGCCAGCAGUUCGGCUGGGCACUCUAGUGAGACUGCCGGGGAUAACUCGGAGGAAGGUGGGGAUGACGUCAAAUCAUCAUGCCCCUUAUGUUCUGGGCUACACACGUGCUACAAUGGCUGGUACAAAGAGAAGCAAGACCGCGAGGUGGAGCAAAUCUCAAAAACCAGUCCCAGUUCGGAUUGUAGGCUGCAACUCGCCUACAUGAAGUUGGAGUUGCUAGUAAUCGCGAAUCAGAAUGUCGCGGUGAAUGCGUUCCCGGGUCUU